ACUCCUACGGGAGGCAGCAGUGGGGAAUAUUGGACAAUGGAACGGCACCUCGAUCCAGCCAUGCCGCGUGAGUGAAGAAGGCCCUAGGGUCGUAAAGCUCUUUCAACUGUGAAGAUAAUGACGGUAGCAGUAGAAGAAACCCCGGCUAACUCCGUGCCAGCAGCCGCGGUAAUACGGAGGGGGUUAGCGUUGUUCGGAAUUACUGGGCGUAAAGCGCACGUAGGCGGACUAUUAAGUUAGAGGUGAAAUCCCAGGGCUCAACCCUGGAACUGCCUUUAAUACUGGUAGUCUUGAGUUCGAGAGAGGUGAGUGGAAUUCCGAGUGUAGAGGUGAAAUUCGUAGAUAUUCGGAGGAACACCAGUGGCGAAGGCGGCUCACUGGCUCGAUACUGACGCUGAGGUGCGAAAGUGUGGGGAGCAAACAGGAUUAGAUACCCUGGUAGCUACGAG
rnacentral:rRNA from 1 species